UAACACGUAGAUAACCUGCCCUGAAGUGGGGAAUAACAGCCCGAAAGGGUUGCUAAUACCGCAUAAUCUCGCUGUUGUUAGAUGGUGAGGAAACACCGCAAGGUGGCUAUAGGAGGGGUCUGCGGCGGAUUAGCUAGAUGGUGGGGUAAAGGCUUACCAUGGCGACGAUCCGUAGCUGGUCUGAGAGGACGGCCAGCCACACUGGGACUGAGAUACGGCCCAG
rnacentral:rRNA from 1 species